AACAAGUGAUGACGUAAUUUUCACGCUUCCUUUCCAUAUGAAGCCAUAAAAAAAGAACAGGAGAGCUGGCUGUUUUCCUUCACACGUCCCCACAAGUGUUGAUCUGGAGGGCACACUCCAAGAAACUUCCUUCAAGCAAAUCUCCAUCUCAGUGUUUGUUUCCUAGGCAACCUGAUCUAAGAAGUGAUGAAAGUCAAACUAGAAACUAUAUAUCUGUGUAAUAAAAGAUAUGACAUAAGUAAG
rnacentral:lncRNA from 1 species